rnacentral:rRNA from 1 species
UACGUAGGGCGCAAGCGUUGUCCGGAAUUAUUGGGCGUAAAGAGCUUGUAGGCGGUUUGUCGCGUCUGCUGUGAAAAUCCGGGGCUCAACCCCGGACUUGCAGUGGGUACGGGCAGACUAGAGUGUGGUAGGGGAGACUGGAAUUCCUGGUGUAGCGGUGAAAUGCGCAGAUAUCAGGAGGAACACCGGUGGCGAAGGCGGUUCUCUGGGCAUGUCCUGACGCUGAGGAGCGAAAGCGUGGGGAGCAAACGGG